GACGAACGCUGGCGGCGUGCUUAACACAUGCAAGUCGAACGAAGAGCGAUGGAAGCUUGCUUCUAUCAAUCUUAGUGGCGAACGGGUGAGUAACGCGUAAUCAACCUGCCCUUCAGAGGGGGGCAACAGUUGGAAACGACUGCUAAUACCGCAUACGAUCUAAUCUCGGCAUCGAGGAUAGAUGAAAGGUGGCCUCUACAUGUAAGCUAUCACUGAAGGAGGGGAUUGCGUCUGAUUAGCUAGUUGGAGGGGUAACGGCCCACCAAGGCGAUGAUCAGUAGCCGGUCUGAGAGGAUGAACGGCCACAUUGGGACUGAGACACGGCCCUGACUCCUACGGGAGGCAGCAGUGGGGAAUCUUCCGCAAUGGACGAAAGUCUGACGGAGCAACGCCGCGUGAGUGAUGACGGCCUUCGGGUUGUAAAGCUCUGUUAAUCGGGACGAAAGGCCUUCUUGCGAAUAGUGAGAAGGAUUGACGGUACCGGAAUAGAAAGCCACGGCUAACUACGUG
rnacentral:rRNA from 1 species